AAGGUCCAUGAGGGCAGCCUCCUCUGUUGAAAAGAGGGGAAAACAGGAAAAAAGUUAUAUAACAAUGUAAGAAAAACUUCAUUCUGUUAUACUGAUUUAUGACCAGAUCAUUUACUGUAACUGAUUACUAAAAGUAAAACUGCAUGUUACCAGGACAGUGUAUGACUUUAAAGAUGCAUUCAACUACCAAAGUUAACAAUUCUGUUUCAGCUUCAGCAGAAGGGGAAAAAAAAGAAAAAGAAAGAAAGACACCGGAAAACACGCUUGCGCAGCAAGGAACCUGAGAACUCCACGGAUCAAAAUCUCUGAAAACAAGAUUUGCAAGUCAAUUCAGAAUUAGGAAAGUAAAAAAUCAUCAAACAUCAGAUAAUAAUCAAC
rnacentral:misc_RNA from 1 species